rnacentral:misc_RNA from 1 species
GAUGAAGAACGUAGCGAAAUGCGAUAAGUAAUGCGAAUUGCAGAAUUUCCGUGAGUCAUCGAAUCUUUGAACGCACAUUGCGCCCGCCAGCACUCUGGCGGGCAUGCCUGUUCGAGCGUCAUUUCAACCAUCAAGCCCCCAGGGGCUUGUGCUGGGGCCCUGCGGCUGCCCGCAGGCCCUGAAAACCAGUGGCGGGCUCGCUAGUCACACCGAGCGCAGUAGCACAUCUCGCUCAGGGCGUGCGGCGGGCUCCUGCCGUGAAACCCCCCACUGUAACCCCAAAGGUUGACCUCGGAUCAGGUAGGAAUACCCGCUGAACUUAAGCAUAUCAAUAAGCGGAGGA